GACGAACGCUGGCGGCGUGCCUAAUACAUGCAAGUCGAGCGGACUGAAUGGGAGCUUGCUCUUGUUCGGUCAGCGGCGGACGGGUGAGUAACACGUGGGCAACCUGCCCGCAAGACCGGGAUAACUCCGGGAAACCGGAGCUAAUACCGGAUAACACCGAAGACCGCAUGGUCUUUGGUUGAAAGGCGGCGCAAGCUGCCACUUGCGGAUGGGCCCGCGGCGCAUUAGCUAGUUGGUGAGGUAACGGCUCACCAAGGCGACGAUGCGUAGCCGGCCUGAGAGGGUGACCGGCCACACUGGGAAUGAGACACGGCCCAGACUCCUACGGGAGGCAGCAGUAGGGAAUCUUCCGCAAUGGGCGAAAGCGUGACGGAGCGACGCCGCGUGAGCGAAGAAGGCCUUCGGGUCGUAAAGCUCUGUUGUGAGGGACGAAGGAGCGCCGUUUGAAGAAGGCGGCGCGGUGACGGUACCUCACGAGGAAGCCCCGGCUAACUACGUG
rnacentral:rRNA from 1 species